GCCACUUUAGCUUAGUGGUAGAGCGUCUGCUUCGUAAGCAGAAGGUCGUCAGUUCAAUCCUG
rnacentral:tRNA from 1 species